UGAAAAUAUAAUAAAGAGGUGAUAGAUGGAGUUGGGAGUUCCAACAAAGUAAAAGGGGCAAAUGUGAAAUUCCAAGAAAUAAGGAGGUAGUCUGUCUUCCCCUAACAUUACCAGUUUGCAUUUGGCGUGUGCUUGAGAAUUAAAUUCAUGCAGCCAAUAACCCAUUAAACAAAGUUUUCACGAGUCACCCCUUGUCGACUUAAAAUUGUUCAUAUGCUUCACUGAGUCUCAAGUACGACGACCAAGACGGCAUCCGAUCCGCCAACGACGACCGCAUCCGCCAGCAAUCUGUACGCUAACCUCCUCUUCCUCUCCACCAUUUGCUUUUUUGCUCGCAAUCUAUUAUUUCAAUUUGUAUGUUAUAUUACGAGAUUGAUAUGGUCAUAGUGAACCGGGGGACAUAAUUUUCUGUGGACAUGAGUAGCACUGUUUUGGGUUUUUGACACUCUUAUUGAAGCUGUACAUUGUGCUGUAGAAAAGGAAUUGCGUCGAAAAGGCAUGUGUGAAGAGUGACUAUGUCCAUCUGUUUGUUCAAAGGCCUCUUAGGGGAUCCCAAAAGUAGAAACGAUAAAAAACGCUACCACCUUUUCAUAGGAUUAGAUCAGUCGUGAUAUGGAUUUGGUUGUUUUGCUAACUAAAUUGACUUGAGUUGAACAUGCCGUUGUCCGAACUUUUUUGAAUUGAUGUUGACCUUGAAAGAUUGUGCUUGAGCUUGGUUUCAUUAUCAAACCAAUCGAACUCAAAUGAGUUUCAAUUAAAUCAAACACGAAUUAAGCUCAAGUAGUUUGAAUUUUCAAGUAUAUUGUAUCAUUUUUAUAUUAAUGAAAUCUAGUUUUGGCCCAAGCUUGAAAGCUUGUCAAACAAAAAAAUGUAUUCAAGUUUGGUUUGUUAAGUUUAAUGAUUAGAGCUCAAACGAGCUUUUAUCGAAUGAUUUCAAUCGAGUAUCCUGUAGUUUGAUAUUUUUUUUUUUUUGGCCUAGUUUCAUACAGAGUGGUAUGUAUGGUUUUAUUUCACUUUCUUAUUGCUUUCCAUGAAAUCUGGAAAUGGUACUUUCUCGUUAUGUGGCCACUAGAACAUGCUUUACCAAUUUUAUGACUGCGAAAUAAGCCUGGACGAUAAGGGCAGUGCUAAGCGGAAGAUAAUGUCAUUUGGAGCUGGCUUCAUUACAACAUCCUUUUCCGUUGGAAAUGCUUGAGUUUUCAUGUGGGAUGUGAUUGAUAUCUCAUGUUAUUGGCUUAAACUAUUAAUAGAUCUAUCAGUCAGCUCAGUUUUUACUUUUGAACAUUCACUUUUAGUUAGUUUUGUCCAUGUUAUUUAAGACAUCAAAAAAGAAAAAGUUUGUGUAUGGUUCGUUAAGCCCUCUGCUUCUUUCUUUACAAUGCUCACAUGCCACUCAUGUACUAAUGCAUGUAAGUGUCUAUCAUCAUACAUCAAAUCAUCCCCCUCAAGAAUGUCCAAAUACUAGUUGUUGGUGCCAGCUAAUUGUUAUUGGGGUACAUUUUCCACCCUCCAAUUCCCUAAAAUUAUAAAAUUGUCAGAUUGGACCCUCAUAUUACUAAUUACUUUCCGCCUGAAUUUUGUACCGAGAGAAUGAUUAAGCCGAAGUUGGAUGGGUAGCCGUCAACUCAUUUUGGUGAACUAUUUGGUUAAUUGACCGCAUGAAACAUGAAAUAAAAAGCUUGGUAUAAAUAAAAAAGAAAGAAGGCCAAAAGUUUUUCAUUUAGUUUAUUGAUUUGGAUAAAUUUGGUGUAAUUGGUUUGUUUUCUUAUGAUUGGUUGGUAAUUUAAAAACAAGUAAAUGUUUUUAUCAGUUAUUGUUAUCGAAAUUAUUUACUUGAUUACUAAAUUUCUGAAUUCGUUUAGAAAGAGAGGAAGUGCUCUGGCAAUGAAGACAAACUAGAAACGCAAAUCGAAUGUAGAGUCCUGCUGUUGUAUGCUAGAACGUUUUCCUUUCUUUUAUUUUGCCAAGUAUACGAGUGCCACAACUAUUAUUGUUUGUCCCACAAAAAUUUUAGAUGAAGCAAGUGAGUAUCAUAGCUUAAAAAUUUUCAGAAGGCAGUCCGAUUAUACAGUAAUUUGUUUGUCAUAAAGCUCUUGAUAUUAUGAUUUAUGGAUACAAUGUAAUCCCCUUUAUAUAGAGGCUGUACGAUCUAGAUGCUGGAGGAAGAUAUUUCAGUUAACAGUGAUGGUUCUUAUAUAUCAAGCAUAUGUUGGGGAACUAGUUUUGAUUGAUCUUGUGAAAGAUAGUUCGCAAGUUUGAGUCCCAGGUGGAGUUGGGAACUAGUUUUAAACCAAAAAAGAAAAAAAAAACAGAGAGAGAGAGAAGAAGAACAAAACAUCAACAGUGAUGGGAUCUAUGUAUCAAGCAUGUUGUUGCAUUUCUCCUGGGGCAAAAAAAGUGGUUUCAUCAUCCUUUUUUGUCCCAUUUGAGGCAACAAUUUUGUUGAAAGGGAUGCUGUGAAAUUAUGUUACCAAAAACGUUAAAGCCUUCACUAGAUCGCUACUAGAAAAAAAUCUCAAGGCUAAAACUGCUUGAUACUUGACGAAAUGGGAAGUAUUGUUUAAUGGGUGUUGGUGCAGUCAGAAGUGAGAGUCUUCUGGUCUCAGGGCAUGUGGUGCUAAGUAACCUGAAGGGAGUCCUCAGCAUUCAUGUAAACGUUCUGAGGUUUAAUUGUGUUCUUAUUCGCCAUCAAGUGUACUUCACUAGAUCACGGAUUUUUCCCGGAGCGUUACUGUGUGGCUUAUGCAAUCAACCUUGCAUUGGGUCUGGUCUAUUCGAGAAAUUUGUUGGUUUCCUCAAUGAGAAUGAGUCGUGUGCCUCUGCAAACGUCUAUUUUAAAAGCAUUUGAUAUGAAAUGAAGCACGUGACUCUCGUGCACCAGGGCUGUUUGCCAAAGACAACGUGGUAGGGACCUUAGAGCACACAACUGUGUCAUUCCAUGGGCCUCUGUGGGACAUUUGGUCUUUGUGGAGAAAGCAACCUCUUGAAUCCUCUACCCCUUUCUAAAUGGUAUUUUCUCCAUUCUCUCUUCUUCCUUGUUCCUUUUUUGUACUGACUUGGAUAUCCUACACCAAGUGAAGGGUAGAUGGGGACAUUUAAUGUUCCAUCAUGUCCUACUCAUGUACUGCACCCAUUAAUUCUCAAGUUCAAGCAAAAAUGAGACAAUGAUGAGGGAUCAGAUUGCAAUUUCACAGCCUGCUGGGUCAGCUUAGAAAAUCAAAUGGAUGCAGGGGCCUGGACCCUUUUUGAAAAAAGAGGUAGCUGCACUGGAAUAAAUCAAUGCUGACAAAGGAAUUUAUUUGAGGUGGGGGCUAGAGCAAGUUCACCUUUUUAGGUGGGAAACAAUGAAAAUAGUUCCAUCAUUUUCUAUGGAUUGGACUUGGUUUCAUCUUCCUCACCUCUACUUGAAUGCUAGAAUUCCCCUAUGUUUGGGAAACUAAAUUAACAUAUAUAGAGAGAAUUAUUGCAGCUUUGAGAAAAUGUGCUUGGUUUUAGGACAGUUUUUGGAUGAAGUAUGUUAGCUUCUAACGUAUAUGGUACUAACGAUUAUUUAUAAAAUUGUCAUU